rnacentral:rRNA from 1 species
CCAGCAGUAGCGGCGCGAUUCGCCCUUAGAGUUUGAUCAUGGCUCAGGAUGAACGCUAGCGGAAGGCCUAAUACAUGCAAGUCGAACGCGGUCUUCGGACCGAGUGGCGGACGGGUGCGUAACGCGUACGCAACCUGCCCCAGGGCGGGGGAUACCUGACCGAAAGGUCCGUUAAUCCCGCAUAAUGCAGCGGCUCCACAUGGGGACAGUUGUUAAAGGCUUCGGCCACCUUGGGAUGGGCGUGCGUCUGAUUAGGUAGUUGGUGAGGUAACGGCUCACCAAGCCGAUGAUCAGUAGCUGGUCUGAGAGGAUGAUCAGCCACACUGGCACUGAGACACGGGCCAGACUCCUACGGGAGGCAGCAGUAGGGAAUAUUGGGCAAUGGGCGCAAGCCUGACCCAGCCAUUCCGCGUGGGGGAAGACGGUCCAUCGGAUUGUAAACUCCUUUUGUGUGAGAAUAAGGCCCUGGCCUCCAGGGUUUGAAGGUAUCACACGAAUAAGCACCGGCUAACUACGUGCCAGCAGCCGCGGUAAUACGUAGGGUGCAAGCGUUGUCCGGAUUUACUGGGUUUAAAGGGUGCGUAGGCGGACUGAUAAGUCGGUGAUGAAAUGCUGAAGCUCAACUUCAGCGCUGUUACCGAUACUGUCAGCCUUGAGUAGGGUUGAGGUAACUGGAAUGAGUGGUGUAGCGGUGAAAUGCGUAGAGAUCACUCAGAACACCUAUUGCGAAGGCAGGUUACUGGACCCAAACUGACGCUGAGGCACGAAAGCGUGGGGAGCGAACAGGAUUAGAUACCCUGGUAGUCCACGCCCUAAACGAUGGAUACUACGUUGCCGGUUUUGAAUUGGCAGCCCAAGCGAAAGUGAUAGUAUCCCACCUGGGGAGUACGCUCGCAGGUGAACUCAAAGAUUGACGGGGCCGCACAGCGUGGAGCAUGUGGUUAAUCGAUGGUACGCGAGGACUCACUGGCUAGAUGGCGUGACCGCCCUGAAGGGGUUC